AGUGGACGCUGGCGGUAGGCCUAACACAUGCAAGUCGAACGGCAGCACAGUAAGAGCUUGCUCUUACGGGUGGCGAGUGGCGGACGGGUGAGGAAUACAUCGGAAUCUACUUUUUCGUGGGGGAUAACGUAGGGAAACUUACGCUAAUACCGCAUACGCCCUACGGGUGAAAGCAGGGGAUCUUCGGACCUUGCGCGAUUGAAUGAGCCGAUGUCGGAUUAGCUAGUUGGCGGGGUAAAGGCCCACCAAGGCGACGAUCCGUAGCUGGUCUGAGAGGAUGAUCAGCCACACUGGAACUGAGACACGGUCCAGACUCCUACGGGAGGCAGCAGUGGGGAAUAUUGGACAAUGGGCGCAAGCCUGAUCCAGCCAUACCGCGUGGGUGAAGAAGGCCUUCGGGUUGUAAAGCCCUUUUGUUGGGAAAGAAAAGCAGCAGGUUAAUACCCCGCUGUUCUGACGGUACCCAAAGAAUAAGCACCGGCUAACUUCGUG
rnacentral:rRNA from 1 species